CGGGGAGAAUCCCGGGAGCAGCUGUCGCUGCCAGCCAGCGCGAGCGCUGCUCCGCCCCUGCCCGGGGAAUUCCACCUUCCCUGCAGUGCAACGCAGCCCGGGCGGGGCGCGGCCAGCCGUGCUGCAAGAGCUGCUCAGGCAGGUGGAAGACUGAAGCAGCACAGAAUCCUGGUGCCUGAAGAAUGGCUAUAGCAGUGCUUUAGUGGAGGGAGAGCAUUGGGUGCAGCCCCAUGAGAGUUCAAACAGCAAAGAAAUGAAAAAAAUCGUCAUGUCAGCUAUCUUUAUUUCCCUCUUCCAGAAUUCAAACUGAGGGGAUGUGCCCUUCUGCAUGUAGCUUGUGUAGGGGCAAUUAGUAAAGACUGUGUAUUGUGAUGCUUCACAAUGGCCCACUUAGUCUUGGUAAUCCUCCUUGAUGGGCCAGGGGAACCUCUCCUCCUGUCUGAGUUCAAAGCAGGCAUUUUUACAAUUAUAAAGCAAAACUUUCAUAUUACCUUAUAGCAUGGAAUACAGACAUUACAAGUAAGAUUAAUGCAUGUAGCCACUUACAAGUAUUUUAUAGAGUGUAAACACUAAACACAUUCUUACAAGUUGUCAUAAAUAUAAAGGGAAGGGUAAACACCUUUAAAUCCCUCCUGGCCAGAGAAAAAACCCUUUCACCUGUAAAGGGUUAAGAAGCUAAGACAACCUCUCUGGCACCUGACCAAAAUGACCAAUGAGGAGACAAGAUGCUUUCAAAGCUGGUGGGGGACAAAGGGUUCUCUCUGGCUGUGUGUUGCUUUUGCUAGGACCAGAGCAUGAAUGCAGGUCAGAACUCCUGUAAAGAGUUAGUAAGCAAUCUGGUUAGAUAUGCGAUAGAUUCUGUUCUGUUCAAAUAGCUGAUAAAAUAAGUUGUGCUGAAUGGAAUAUAUAUUCCUGUUUUUGUGUCUUUUUGUAACUUAAGGUUUAGCCUAGAGGGAUUCUCUAUGUUUUGAAUCUGAUUACCCUGUAAGGUAUUUACCAUCCUCAUUUUACAGAGGUGAUUCUUUUACUUUUUCUUUAAUUAAAAUUCUUCUUUUAAGAACCUGA